rnacentral:rRNA from 1 species
GACGAACGCUGGCGGCGUGCUUAACACAUGCAAGUCGAACGGAAAGGCCCUGCUUUUGUGGGGUGCUCGAGUGGCGAACGGGUGAGUAACACGUGAGUAACCUGCCCUUGACUUUGGGAUAACUUCAGGAAACUGGGGCUAAUACCGGAUAGGAGCUCCUGCUGCAUGGUGGGGGUUGGAAAGUUUCGGCGGUUGGGGAUGGACUCGCGGCUUAUCAGCUUGUUGGUGGGGUAGUGGCUUACCAGGGCUUUGACGGGUAGCCGGCCUGAGAGGGUGACCGGCCACAUUGGGGCUGAGAUACGGCCCAGACUCCUACGGGAGGCAGCAGUGGGGAAUAUUGCACAAUGGGCGGAAGCCUGAUGCAGCAACGCCGCGUGCGGGAUGACGGCCUUCGGGUUGUAAACCGCUUUCGCCUGUGACGAAGCGUGAGUGACGGUAAUGGGUAAAGAAGCACCGGCUAACUACGUG